UAAACAUAGACAGUUCACAUACCCGACUGUCCGCCCGGGAACUACGAGCAUUAGCUUAAAACCCAAAGGACUUGGCGGUGCUUUAAACCCCCCUAGAGGAGCCUGUUCUAGAACCGAUAAUCCCCGUUCAACCUCACCCUUCCUUGUUCUUUCCGCCUAUAUACCACCGUCGUCAGUUUACCCUGUGAAGGUACAACAGUAAGCACAAUCGGCACAGCCCAAAACGCCAGGUCGAGGUGUAGCGUAUGGAAGGGGAAGAAAUGGGCUACAUUCCUUAUCAUUAAGGCAUACGGAUGAUAUGUUGAAACGCAUAUCUGAAGGAGGAUUUAGCAGUAAGCAGGAACUAAAGUGUCCCGCUGAAACCGGC
rnacentral:rRNA from 1 species